rnacentral:lncRNA from 1 species
GCGACAGGGAGUUGGCUGUAACAAAUUGAUGUGUCAGGAGAGAGAAAAUAGAGCCAACCAUGCUGUGAACUAGAGCUCAACACUCGACUGGAUCGAUGAGGCAAUCUUCCUGCCGAGAAGACGUUCCUCCCCCACCUCCGAUGGCAGAGUCCAAUUUCUCGCAUACUGUGGUCACCACGAAUGCACAGAUUGCUGCACUCAUACA